rnacentral:rRNA from 1 species
ACACUCCUACGGGAGGCAGCAGUGGGGAAUUUUGGACAAUGGGCGAAAGCCUGAUCCAGCAAUGCCGCGUGAGUGAAGAAGGCCUUCGGGUUGUAAAGCUCUUUUGUCAGGGAAGAAACGGUGAAAGCUAAUAUCUUUUGCUAAUGACGGUACCUGAAGAAUAAGCACCGGCUAACUACGUGCCAGCAGCCGCGGUAAUACGUAGGGUGCAAGCGUUAAUCGGAAUUACUGGGCGUAAAGCGUGCGCAGGCGGUUUUGUAAGUCUGAUGUGAAAUCCCCGGGCUCAACCUGGAAAUUGCAUUGGAGACUGCAAGGCUAGAAUCUGGCAGAGGGGGGUAGAAUUCCACGUGUAGCAGUGAAAUGCGUAGAUAUGUGGAGGAACACCGAUGCGAAGGCAGCCCCCUGGGUCAAGAUUGACGCUCAUGCACGAAAGCGUGGGGAGCAAACAGGAUUAGAAACCCUUGUAGUCCCAUGA